rnacentral:rRNA from 1 species
AUGCAAGUCGAGCGGAAGGCCCUUCGGGGUACUCGAGCGGCGAACGGGUGAGUAACACGUGAGUAACCUGCCCUAGGCUUUGGGAUAACCCUCGGAAACGGGGGCUAAUACCGGAUAUGACCUUUCCUCGCAUGAGGGUUGGUGGAAAGUUUUUCGGCCUGGGAUGGGCUCGCGGCCUAUCAGCUUGUUGGUGGGGUGAUGGCCUACCAAGGCGACGACGGGUAGCCGGCCUGAGAGGGCGACCGGCCACACUGGGACUGAGACACGGCCCAGACUCCUACGGGAGGCAGCAGUGGGGAAUAUUGCACAAUGGGCGGAAGCCUGAUGCAGCGACGCCGCGUGAGGGAUGACGGCCUUCGGGUUGUAAACCUCUUUCAGCAGGGACGAAGCGCAAGUGACGGUACCUGCAGAAGAAGCGCCGGCCAACUACGUGCCAGCAGCCGCGGUAAGACGUAGGGCGCGAGCGUUGUCCGGAUUUAUUGGGCGUAAAGAGCUCGUAGGCGGCUUGUCGCGUCGACCGUGAAAACUUGGGGCUCAACCCCAAGCCUGCGGUCGAUACGGGCAGGCUAGAGUUCGGUAGGGGAGACUGGAAUUCCUGGUGUAGCGGUGAAAUGCGCAGAUAUCAGGAGGAACACCGGUGGCGAAGGCGGGUCUCUGG